AGGCCACAUACCCUUAACACAACUGUCAGAACAGUGGGAUAAUUUUAAUGUAACUACAGUAUUAAAUAUGUGAAAGUUAGAGUUAAAGAUGUAUGGUCCAAACUGUGGGCUAUAUGGGUCUUUGCCAUUGAAGGAAGAGAGUUUUCAUA